AGUGCAUUUAAGGCGCAGCCUGGAAGUGCCAGGGAGCACUGGAGGCCACCCAGUCAUGGGGGACACCUUCAUCCGUCACAUCGCCCUGCUGGGCUUUGAGAAGCGCUUCGUACCCAGCCAGCACUAUGUACAUGUUCCUGGUGAAAUGGCAGGACCUGUCGGAGAAGGUGGUCUACCGGCGCUUCACCGAGAUCUACGAGUUCCAUAAAACCUUAAAAGAAAUGUUCCCUAUUGAGGCAGGGGCGAUCAAUCCAGAGAACAGGAUCAUCCCCCACCUCCCAGCUCCCAAGUGGUUUGACGGGCAGCGGGCCGCCGAGAACCACCAGGGCACACUUACCGAGUACUGCAGCACGCUCAUGAGCCUGCCCACCAAGAUCUCCCGCUGUCCCCACCUCCUCGACUUCUUCAAGGUGCGCCCUGAUGACCUCAAGCUCCCCACGGACAACCAGACAAAAAAGCCAGAGACAUACUUGAUGCCCAAAGAUGGCAAGAGUACCGCGACAGACAUCACCGGCCCCAUCAUCCUGCAGACGUACCGCGCCAUUGCCGACUACGAGAAGACCUCGGGCUCCGAGAUGGCUCUGUCCACGGGGGACGUGGUGGAGGUCGUGGAGAAGAGCGAGAGCGGUUGGUGGUUCUGUCAGAUGAAAGCAAAGCGAGGCUGGAUCCCAGCAUCCUUCCUCGAGCCCCUGGACAGUCCUGACGAGACGGAAGACCCUGAGCCCAACUAUGCAGGUGAGCCAUACGUCGCCAUCAAGGCCUACACUGCUGUGGAGGGGGACGAGGUGUCCCUGCUCGAGGGUGAAGCUGUUGAGGUCAUUCACAAGCUCCUGGACGGCUGGUGGGUCAUCAGGAAAGACGACGUCACAGGCUACUUUCCGUCCAUGUACCUGCAAAAGUCGGGGCAAGACGUGUCCCAGGCCCAACGCCAGAUCAAGCGGGGGGCGCCGCCCCGCAGGUCGUCCAUCCGCAACGCGCACAGCAUCCAUCAGCGGUCGCGGAAGCGCCUCAGCCAGGACGCCUAUCGCCGCAACAGCGUCCGUUUUCUGCAGCAGCGACGCCGCCAGGCGCGGCCGGGACCGCAGAGCCCCGGGAGCCCGCUCGAGGAGGAGCGGCAGACGCAGCGCUCUAAACCGCAGCCGGCGGUGCCCCCGCGGCCGAGCGCCGACCUCAUCCUGAACCGCUGCAGCGAGAGCACCAAGCGGAAGCUGGCGUCUGCCGUCUGAGGCUGGAGCGCAGUCCCCAGCUAGCGUCUCGGCCCUUGCCGCCCCGUGCCUGUACAUACGUGUUCUAUAGAGCCUGGCGUCUGGACGCCGAGGGCAGCCCCGACCCCUGUCCAGCGCGGCUCCCGCCACCCUCAAUAAAUGUUGCUUGGAGUGGACCGAGGCUCUGCAGGAAUGCAGGGAGGGCCGGGCUCCGCCCCAGGGUUAUUUCUAAGUUGA